GCAGGAGUAGUUCAGUGGUGAACACCACCUUGCCAAGGUGGGGGUCGCGAGUUCGAAUCUCGUCUUCCGCUCCA
rnacentral:tRNA from 1 species